UACGAAGGGGGCUAGCGUUGCUCGGAAUCACUGGGCGUAAAGGGUGCGUAGGCGGGCCUUUAAGUCAGAGGUGAAAUCCUGGAGCUCAACUCCAGAACUGCCUUCGAUACUGGCGAUCUUGAGUCCGGAAGAGGUGAGUGGAACUCCUAGUGUAGAGGUGGAAUUCGUAGAUAUUAGGAAGAACACCAGUGGCGAAGGCGGCUCACUGGUCCGGUACUGACGCUGAGGUGCGAAAGCGUGGGGAGCAAACAGG
rnacentral:rRNA from 1 species